ACGGGGUGCAGCAGGCGCGAAAACUUUGCAAUGUGCGAAAGCACGGCAAGGUUAAUCCGAGUGGUUUCUGCUAAAGGAACCUUUUGACAGUCCUAGAAACACUGUUGAAUAAGGGGUGGGCAAGUUCUGGUGUCAGCCGCCGCGGUAAAACCAGCACCUCAAGUGGUCAGGAUGAUUAUUGGGCCUAAAGCAUCCGUAGCCGGCUCAGUAAGUUUUCGGUUAAAUCUGUACGCUCAACGUACAGGCUGCCGGGAAUACUGCAGAGCUAGGGAGUGGGAGAGGUAGACGGUACUCGGGAGGAAGUGGCAAAAUGCUUUGAUCUUUCGAUGACCACCUGUGGCGAAGGCGGUCUACCAGAACACGUCCGACGGUGAGGGAUGAAAGCUGGGGGAGCAAACCGGAUUAGAUACCCGGGUAGUCCCAGCUGUAAACUAUGCAAACUCAGUGAUGCAUUGGCUUGUGGCCAAUGCAGUGUUGCAGGGAAGCCGUUAAGUUUGCCGCCUGGAAGUACGUACGCAAGU
rnacentral:rRNA from 1 species